CACUGCCGAGAAAAGCCUCUAGAUAGAAAAUAGGUGCCCGUACCGCAAACCGACACAGGUAGUCAAGAUGAGAAUUCUAAGGUGAGCGAGCGAACUCUCGUUAAGGAACUCGGCAAAAUGACCCCGUAACUUCGGGAGAAGGGGUGCUCUUUAGGGUUAACGCCCAGAAGAGCCGCAGUGAAUAGGCCCAAGCGACUGUUUAUCAAAAACACAGGUCUCUGCUAAACCGUAAGGUGAUGUAUAGGGGCUGACGCCUGCCCGGUGCUGGAAGGUUAAGAGGAGUGGUUAGCUUCUGCGAAGCUACGAAUCGAAGCCCCAGUAAACGGCGGCCGUAACUAUAACGGUCCUAAGGUAGCGAAAUUCCUUGUCGGGUAAGUUCC
rnacentral:rRNA from 1 species